rnacentral:rRNA from 1 species
AGUGAACGCUGGCGGUAGGCCUAACACAUGCAAGUCGAACGGCAGCACAGUAAGAGCUUGCUCUUACGGGUGGCGAGUGGCGUACGGGUGAGGAAUACAUCGGAAUCUACUUUUUCGUGGGGGAUAACGUAGGGAAACUUACGCUAAUACCGCAUACGACCUACGGGUGAAAGCAGGGGAUCUUCGGACCUUGCGCGAUUGAAUGAGCCGAUGUCGGAUUAGCUAGUUGGCGGGGUAAAGGCCCACCAAGGCGACGAUCCGUAGCUGGUCUGAGAGGAUGGUCAGCCACACUGGAGGUGAGACACGGUCCAGACUCCUACGGGAGGCAGCAGUGUGGAAUAUUGGGCAAUGGGCGCAAGCCUGAUCCAGCCAUACCGCGUGGGUGAAGAAGGCCUUCGGGUUGUAAAGCCCUUUUGUUGGGAAAGAAAAGCAGCAGGUUAAUACCCCGCUGUUCUGACGGUACCCAAAGAAUAAGCACCGGCUAACUUCGUG